CUGCACAAGUUAGUGGUUACUUGGGCAUGGUUGCUCUCUCAUUUCAGAGUCUCCUUUUGAAGUGGUUCAAAGGUAGAGAGCACUUUAGGAGAAUGGUGUGUUUUAAAACCUGGCUGGCAUUUACAAUGUUCUGCUCUGUUCUUCUCUGCAUUAGCUAUAAGAUAGUGGGCUUUAGUUUGCAGUAGAGAUCUUGUGGCUCAGGAGCCUGAAGAGUUUACUACUCAGCUCUGUGAAUCUUCUUUAAGAUGAUCUUUGAGAAUACCUUUCCAUGUCGUCCUUAAAGCAAGCUAUUGUCAUCCAUUGCUAGCAUUCAGAUUCUCAAGACAAGUAUGUCAUGAGAAAUGAACCUGCAAAGACUACCUGCUUUCUUACCACACUCAUUUCUCCUCACCACUUGUGCCUGCUGAAGGUGAGGCACAAGAAGUUAAGGACAGUUUCUGACCUCAAAUCAGAUUUUACCAUUUUAGGGAUGUAACCUUGAAUGGAUGGUGGUGUUUUAAUUUCUUCCGCUGAACAACUUCAGAAGAUGCAGAGUGAGUUUUGAUGGGAAAGAGACUCUUCAUGGGCUACUCUAGAACAAACAAUGGAAACGGAUCACAGGAAAGAAUGAAGGACAUGGUUCAUGUCUGAUUCAGGUGAUUUCUACAAACAGUUCCAGGAGCUUUCUCCAUUCUCCCAGUUGAGAUUGGCAUUAUGCUUAGAGAAGAAAAAGCGUCUCAAAAGAAAACUAGUCACUCUUGAGGUAGAAUUGCCUCACCUGAAGAGGGAGGAGGUAUUUUUCCUUUUCUCUGAGUCAAGAACUCAUGAUCACCAUCACCCAACCCUGCUCACACACACCCUGACCACCACGGGUCUCUAGGCACUUUAAAUUCUAUGAUUUAUAUGAACUCUUACAGGGACGCAGCUGUUCUCCUGGGCAUAUUCACAACACGUUUUUCCACCCACUCACCUCCCAAGGUGGGUUCUUAAGCAAGUAGCAAAAUGAGGUGUGGGCACUGACACAAAGACCAAUGAGGCAUUUUAAGAGAAGUUAAAUUCAGGAAGCUUUAGGGAAACAAACAAAAAUAAAUUUUAAGAAAUCUGUUUGCAUGGAAAGAUAAAACAAUAAUAGAAUGAGAGAGAGAGAGAGAGAGAGA
rnacentral:lncRNA from 1 species